CCUCAAGCCCCAUCACUUAUCGUAUCUCUCCCAAAAAAAUCGCAUCGCACGCAACCUCCCGUUCCUCUUUUUCUCUUCCCCGGGCUGUGCGGCUACGGUUUCCGCCGCCGCCGCCUCGCCCCUAUCGGCCCGUCCCAUCUCCUCCGGCACCGACCACUGGCGAACGCGCCCUCUUGAGUACAGCUUCUCCCCCAAACCUUCAGAUCUUCGUGUUCCCCCAGGCGGUCAUGGUGGUUGCAGAGGAGGGGGGGUUGCAUCGAGGUGCUGACAGAUGCUCGGCACCUUCGUGAUGUGGAGAUGGCGCUGCCGACUUCCCACCAGCUUCCUCUGGCGAGGGAGAUGGCUCGGCCAAGCCAUGGCCCUAGCGCUGCAGAUUUCGGCGGCCACGAGAUUGUACACCACCCAUGGUAGCGACCAGCUUUGCUUUGUGCUGUGAAUGACAGCUACGGGUUCCAUCAUAUGUUCAGCUAGAAUGGAUUUGUAAUGAAUGGAUGUUGCAGCUUGUACUACGGAUGCUUGGAAUCUUUACAUAAGUUUGAUGAACCUGCCGAUUUGGAUGGUUAUUGGUCUCCUACAUAUGUUACCUGAAGAUGUCUAAAGCUUCCUUAAGAAAUGUGAUUCUGCUCUUAGUCAAUAGCAGGAUGACUAGACACAUACUCAUAUCCGCUCGUUGGUAAGUCCCCAAUCUAUUUGAUCUCGAAAAAUUCUGUCUUUGGUUACCUAGAAGGCGUUCGAUGAAAGGGAGAUAAUCUAUGUAAUUUGCUUCUUGGUAAACACACUCCUUUUAUUAUAAUAGGUGUCUGCAUCCGGACUUUGUUGAAUACGAUGCCAUGUUCCUAGACAGCAAAAGUUCUGAACCAACAACCACUAUACAAGUUGCUUCUUUUGUCCCUCCUCUCUACCCAAGAGCCUGACAGUCUAGACAUCCCCAUCUUCAGCAACAUUGAUGCGUUUGUAAACUUUUCCCUCUAAUUAAUGAGCCAUACUGCCAUAGCACUUAAGGUUGUAAUAUAAAUAAGUAGGUUGAAUCAAACAUCGAUGAAAACACAACAAGGAUCAAGAAAAUAUAACUGAACAAAAGAAACGUUGAAUAAAAUCGGGCAUCAUCAUGUGAGUCAUGGAGCAUGGCAAAAAGUCGAGGCCAACGAAUAUUGAGCAGCAAUUAGGUUACAAUAUGUUCUUGCAGGUCCUAAUUGAUUGCAACUUUCGUUAUCAAAGAAUGUCUUUGAAUACUACAUUUGGUCAUGAGCUUGUUCAUUAGGUAAUGAAGUUUAUUUAGUAGAUUAUGUCGAUAUUUUUUGGAUGAUCGUCAUCGGGACAGAUCUUGUCGUCGCCUCGCCACCCUCGCCAUCAGGAUUGUAUUAAUGACACAAGAUUCUGGCCCUGGUGUCUUCUGUUAGGUGAAAACAAUUAUUGGACUCUUAUGUUAUCGUGCAAUGAAUAUCCCUUUUGACACUCUUGUAAGUAGAAAUGGUUGCAGAAUUUUGAUUCAAGCUAAUCGAAUGUUCAUUAUUUUGUGUCAAUACAGUACAAUAGAGAGUUAUCCAAUUGGUGGAUCCACGACAUGUAUGGGAGCAAGGGAACCGGAGGUGCUAGAUGCAGGCACUAAUUGUAUUUAGAGUUCGGCUGCAACAAUCAAGUCGUUUAGGAUGGUACUAAUGUGUUGAUUAUUUUCGAUGCCAUCAACAUCAGCUACAAUCUUGGACUAGAGGAUACCAUGAAUAGAUCUUAGUCAAAUAAUCUAUGAGUGACUUCUACUGUUAACUUGAUUUUUUGGUUCAUAAAAUAGGAUCAGUCAAGUUAAGCAUCAAUUUGUUUCAGGGUUAGUCUCUAUUCUUAUCCCAUGUUAAGAGAAAAUCUGUACUAUGAAUUAAGUGACAUCAUGAAAUAAUCUGGAUCAAGAUAAGAAAGAAGAAUUACAUGUUUAUUAAAGCAUGGGGGAUCAUAAGUACAAAAUUAGUAAAUGAAUGAUGGCCUGCACAUGUGGGUUAUAUUGUAAUCGAUUCCAGUGUGUGACACAACAACCAAGAGCAGUCUAUUUUAUCAUUCUAAUACAGUACCACUUACACAAGUAUAGUAGCAUGUUCGUAUCAGAACCUAAGAGUGUUAAAAACAUCAGGAGAAGAUGGCAAUUAUGAACAUUAGAGAGGAAUAAAUGUGAUCACAUAUACUAUACAGGGCCUUCUGUACAUGCAUGUUAGCUGCAGAAGCACAUUCUUGCAUGUUGAAAAUUCUCUUUAUUAGAGUAUACUGGCAUGAAUAUGACAGUGCAGUGCAAGACGACACUGAUCGACUGUGGUGGGCGAGUCAACGGGAGGUGACAAUGAUGACUGAUAUGGUUACCGGCAGAUAAAAGGUAAGUGACACUGUUGUUUGGUCCCUCUCCUCUCCUGAUAUGAUUCAUGCACUAUUUGGUGUUUGCCUUGCUUGCUUGUCGUGGAAAUUUGCUUGUUGGAUAGACAAAAUACUGUGUACAUGUCAUCUUAAUAAUCAUGGGUAUGUAUUUAUAUAAACAAUCAACUGCAAUUGGUUUGGUUCCUUUGAAAAGGACUGAAAAUAUCUUGCUAGAGGUGGACUAUCAAUCUUUACAGUUAGAGCAAUGACAUCAGGGACACACAGGCAGUUGUGAAGCAUCUGGCGGAUCAGCCGGUGAACAUGAGGAGCAAAGACGGCAUAUCCUGCGUCGUCGUAAACAUCCGCUGCUAGCAGAGCUUCAGCCUAUGAAUAGGACGAGCAAAGAUGACAUCUCCGUCAUCGUAAACUUCCAGUGCUAGCCCCUAAAGUGCACAAUUGCUUCUAUGUCUUCCGCUGUUCUUCGUAGGAUAUAGUGUUUAAUUUGGGAAUAAUCCACCACCCAAGGGGAUCAAGGUUUCUAAAAUAUUGUUGUUUGUUCAAAGGUUUUUUUUUAUAAAUUAUCAAUUGUAAGUUCUAUUGCAAAUUUCUUACUUAUAUGUGCAUGUUUGCCGGCAAUUUGAGAAAAGGGGGCUGGAAGGGCCGCUGGCACUGCACAACUAACAUUCAGGCGUCGUCACAAGGCUGGAGAGGUCCUAUGCAUCGCUGCUGCUAUUCAUGUCACUGGAAAGCUGAAAACUGCCAAGUUUGAUUGUUCUCACCGUGGGAAGGCUAGCAGGACAAAUAUAUUGCAUCAUGUGAAGAAGCAAACAAAGCAGCAACAAGGUUCUAGAAGCCCGGUGUAGAGGCAGAUGAUGGCGAUGGUCGUGAAGACGAUCAGGCUCAGCCAUCCGCCAUGAACAUAUGCCCAAGAACAAACAAACAAUUAAUCAAGUGAAUGCAUCAAAAUGUGUAGAUACAGGUGACAAGUGCUUGAACUACUAGCUAGCAUUGGGCUGUAUAUAUAGAUAGAAUAUUUCUUGCGCGGUUUUAUUUAUCUUUUGUGUCUGGUCACCCCGUAAUAUUAUGAUUCUGAUGUGAAUCUGUGGUUCAAAUAGAUAGGCGGGGACACCAAAUACUCAUUGCGGCACUACUCGACUGGCUCUGGUUAAUGCAAUAUGCUUUUAUUCAAUA